rnacentral:rRNA from 1 species
GUGAGGAAUAUUGGUCAAUGGGCGGGAGCCUGAACCAGCCAAGUCGCGUGAAGGAAGAAGGAUCUAUGGUUCGUAAACUUCUUUUGCAGGGGAAUAAAGUGCAGGACGUGUCCUGUUUUGUAUGUACCCUGAGAAUAAGGAUCGGCUAACUCCGUGCCAGCAGCCGCGGUAAUACGGAGGAUCCGAGCGUUAUCCGGAUUUAUUGGGUUUAAAGGGUGCGUAGGUGGUUUGAUAAGUCAGCGGUGAAAGUUUGCAGCUUAACUGUAAAAAUGCCGUUGAAACUGUCGGACUUGAGUGUAAAUGAGGUAGGCGGAAUGCGUGGUGUAGCGGUGAAAUGCAUAGAUAUCACGCAGAACUCCGAUUGCGAAGGCAGCUUACUGGGAUGCAACUGACGCUGAGGCACGAAAGCGUGGGGAUCAAACAGGAUUAGAAACCCGGGUAGUCC